rnacentral:rRNA from 1 species
GCCUACGGGAGGCAGCAGUGAGGAAUAUUAGUCAAUGGGCGGAAGCCUGAACCAGCCAAGUCGCGUGAGGGAAUAAGGCCCUACGGGUCGUAAACCUCUUUUGCCGGAGAGCAAGGGCGGGGACGUGUCCCGGCCCGGAGAGUACCCGGAGAAAAAGCAUCGGCUAACUCCGUGCCAGCAGCCGCGGUAAUACGGAGGAUGCGAGCGUUAUCCGGAUUUAUUGGGUUUAAAGGGUGCGUAGGCGGGCUUUUAAGUCAGCGGUAAAAAUUCGGGGCUCAACCCCGGCCGGCCGUUGAAACUGGGGG